CGUAGCAUAAGAUUCAGCCCUAUUAGAUGUCUAUUAAAAAGAGUAUUUUGAGAAAAAUGAGUUUUGAAAUAGUGAUUUUUUUAGAGUAUUAAGAGUUAUACCAUAUUGAGAAAUAUUGUUUUCCUUAUCACUCAACUGUAAUUAUUCUAAUGAUUUCCAUUCCUAAAUUAGCCUAGGUUAUUUCACUUGUGCUAUAAAAUGCUUGUAUACAUUCAUUCAAGAACAAUGAAAUUUUCCUUCAUUCAUAUGAAAACCUAACAUGGUAUCAGAGCUACUAAGUUAGAAAAUUCACACCCCUACGGCUGCACCAUGGAUGAUUCAGCUGCUACUCAUAUUCCGGAUGUCACUAAGUCCCUUACAGAUGCUUCAGCCCCUUACUUUCUACAUCAUCUGACCAACCCAACCAAGUACUUGUUGAUGCAGUCCUUAACGAGGACAAUUACCUUGCUUGGAGAAGAUCAGUAACUCGUGUCUUGAAUGCCAAAAAUAAAUUGGUUUUGUUCUCGGCACCAUUAAACGUCCAACCACCGAUACAACUGCUGCACAGCUCUGGGAUCGAUGUUGCGACAUGAUAAUGUCGUGGCUCCUUCAUUCCAUUGAUAGAUCUCUCGCCGCAAGCCUCAUCUAUUGUGCAACACCUAACGACCUAUGGAUUGAACUGGAAACACGUUUUCAGCAAAGUAACCGAACCUAAAAUUUUCGAUUGAAGCGUGAACUAGCCAACCUCAAUUAAGAGCAACAAUCUGUCACAGUCUAUUAUGGAAGAUUGAAGGAACUUUGGGAUAAAUUAGCUUCACUCCAGCCCACAACCCCAUGUACUUGCGGUGCAGCCAAAGCAUUAUCUGAACUCCAUGAUUUGUACCGAAUAUAUCAGUUUCUCAUGGGAUUGAAUGACAGCUACCAACAACUCCAGUCCCAAAUCUUAGCCAUGGGCCCUCUUCUCUCAAUUGGGCAUUGCUAGGCCAUUCUCCAUCAAGAAGAAGCCCAACGCCUCGUCCAAUUACCUGCCUCCCGACUGAAAUUUUCAACUUUGCUUACCCGUUCAUCAACAGCACAGAAAUCGUCAUCUCGGCCAAGGCAUGUUGGGCCGGCUGGAACAUCUCUCUACGAAGCAUGUGGCAGAUCGGGACUUCCUCAUUUAAGGUGUUUCGAGAUAAUAGUGUACCCUGAAUGGUGGCCAUCGAAGGGAAAACGAAAUGGGCAGGGACCUCUAUCACCGGUGGUGCAGCAGAUUUCGACCAAUUCAGAGUCCUCCACCGACGCGCCCUCAAUCGGUAGCACCACACCUGGCUUCUCCCACGAGCAAUUUACCCAGUUGAUGGAACUUCUAAAAUCCCCAAAUCACUCGUUCACAGGUUCUUGAUUCCAAAUGUUGGGUCAUUGAUAGUGGUGCAACACACCACAUCACUACCUCAAUUUUAAAUCAUUCCAAUAAUGCCACUUGCCCUCGUUCUGUGUAUCUCCCCCAUAGGUUCUCAUGCUACAGUGUCUAAUUCGGGUGAUAUUAAUUUGUCACCUUUUCUCAGAUUUUCAAAUGUUUUAUCUGUUCCAAAUUUUCAAUUUAAUUUGCUAUCUGUCAGCCAACUAACAAAGUCUCUCUUGUGUUGUCUCCUUUUUCCCACCUUUUUGUACUUUUCAGGACCUAAAUACGAAGAUGCUGAUUGGCGUGGGUGUUGAGCGUAAUGGGCUGUACUACUUCCAGAAUAAUCCAGCAACUGCUCUUCAAUCAUCUAGUCAUAUUUCCUUUGACAUAUGGCAUCAAUGUUUAGGUCACCCUUCCCCCCAAAAUGUUUCCCAAUUUAUUUCUUGUCCUCAAAUUAAUAAUUAUUGUGACGCUUGUGAUCG
rnacentral:lncRNA from 1 species